AGUGGCGUACGGGUGAGUAACACGUGACUAACCUUCCUUCGAGUGGGGAAUAACCUCGGGAAACCAGGGCUAAUACCGCAUAACAUCACCGGGUGAAACUCCCGAUGAUCAAAGGGGUAAGACGCUUGAAGAGGGGGUCGCGGCUGAUUAGUUAGUUGGCGGGGUAAUGGCCCACCAAGACGAUGAUCAGUAGCCGGCCUGAGAGGGCGCACGGCCACACUGGGACUGAAACACGGCCCAG
rnacentral:rRNA from 1 species